rnacentral:rRNA from 1 species
GGACGAACGCUGGCGGCGUGCUUAACACAUGCAAGUCGAACGGUGAACCGGGCUUCGGCCCGGGGAUCAGUGGCGAACGGGUGCGUAACACGUGGGCAACCUGCCUCAGACACUGGGAUAACCCCGGGAAACCGGGGCUAAUACCGGAUACUCCGACCGGACUGCAUGAUCCGGCCGGGAAAGCUCCGACGGUCUGAGAUGGGCCCGCGGCCUAUCAGCUUGUUGGUGGGGUAACGGCCCACCAAGGCGACGACGGGUAGCUGGUCUGAGAGGACGACCAGCCACACUGGAACUGAGACACGGU